rnacentral:tRNA from 1 species
UCCGCGAUAGCUCAAUGGUAGAGCAAUUGACUGUUAAUCAAUGGGUUCUAGGUUCGAAUCCUAGUCGCGGAG